GCGUUAUUACGUAGGUGGGCAAGCGUUGUCCGGGAUUUAUUGGGCGUAAAGCGAGGGCAGGCGGUUUCUUAAGUCUGAUGUGAAGCCCCCGGUUCACCCGGGGAGGGUCAUUGGAAACUGGGAGACUUGAGUGCAGAGGAGGGAGAGUGGAAUUCCAUGUGUAGCGGUGAAAUGCGUAGAUAUAUGGAGGACCACCAGUGGCGAAGGCGGCUUUCUGGUCUGUAACUGACGCUGAGGCUGGAAAGCGUGGGGAGCAACCAGGAUUAGAUACCCUGGUAGUCCACGCCGUAAACGAUGAGUGUUAAGUGUUGGAGGGUUUCCGCCCUUCAGUGCUGCAGCUAACGCAUUAAGCAUUCCGCCUGGGGAGUACGACCGCAAGGUUGAAACUCAAAGGAAUUGACGGGGGCCCGCCCAAGCGGUGGAGCAUGUGGUUUAAUUGGAAGCAACGGGAAGACCCUUACCAGGUCUUGACAUCCUUUGACCACUCUAGAGAUAGAGCUUCCCCUUCGGGGGCAAAGUGACAGGUGGUGCAUGGUGGUCGUCAGCUCGUGUCGUGAGAUGUUGGGUUAAGUCCCGCAACGAGCGCAACCCUUAUUGUUAGUUGCCAUCAUUCAGUUGGGCACUCUAGCAAGACUGCCGGUGACAAACCGGAGGAAGGGGGGGAGGAGGUCAAAUCAUCAUGCCCCUUAUGCCCUGGGCUACACACGUGCUCCAAUGGGAAGUACAACGAGUUGGGAAGUCGGGAGGUUAAGUUAAUUUCUUAAAGCUUCUUUCAGUUCGGAUUGCAGGCUGCAAUUCGCCUGCAGGAAGCCGGAAUCGUUAGUAAUCGCGGAUCACCACGCCGCGGGGAAUACGUUCCCGGCCCUUGUACACACCGCCCGUCACACCACGAGAGUUUGUAACACCCGAAGUCGGUGAGGUAACCUUUGGAGCCAGCCGCCUAA
rnacentral:rRNA from 1 species